ensembl:lncRNA
CAGCCUUUAUGUCACGUUCUGCCUAGUCUACAUAAAACAUGUAGAAAAAAAGUAAACUUCCCCCUCUAGUCUGCAAAUGCUGAAUUGUCAGGCGGAGUCGCAUCUUCACAAUAACUUUACUUUCUCAACAAGUUGCUGUUUUAUUUUGUGCAGUUGUGUAGGUGUUUGUUGUGCUUAAAAUAUAUAAAUAAUGAAUCCUCAUCUAAAGUUGGCCUUUUUCCGUUUCCCCUGCUUCUAUGUAUAGAUCACAGGUAGCUGCUGAGACGUUUGUAGUCGGCAUCUGAGCUACACGGGGACACCGCGGGGGGGCCGAGACUCGUGUCUGCGUAUGCGUACAGAGGUGUGUUAGUGAAUAAAAAUGUGUUGUUUACUUCUAUAUCAGUCACACCCCUGGGUAAAUGACGUGCACACCUCAACUUUGAAUGAGAAAGUUGCAUUUCUCCUGUUAAAGAGGUUAAAAUUGGGAUUUCUUGGAGAGCUCCAGCAAAUGAUUACGUUCGCACAAACGCAGAUAUCGCUCUUGUCGAUCCAGCCGUCCAUUCAUGCUGCUAAUAGUGUUAUGUCCUCAGUCUAUAAAAUGAACAUCGGCCUGCCCCCCCCUUGCCGGGCAAUAAAACCGAAUGGUCAGGAGCCACAAGAUUAUUAGACAUUCUUAUCAUAGUGCGUUGAACUCUGCAGAUAUAAAAGGACUUGUUCCCUGCUCUCUUUCCACAAUGUGCGCCCAUGGUGACUGAAAAGAGACUGACUUCAAAAGCUAAAGGAACCAUCCUGGAGUGUGGAAUAUAUUUAUAUAUAUAAAUAAAAUGAUUACAGAUAAUCCUAGCUGUUUUUGUAAGCGAUAAAUCAGGGUGAAAGUGAAUGAUAAAUUAACACUGAUACUGUGAAAAAGAGAAGAACAAGAGAACAAGACAUUAAUGGAUAUUUUAAAAACCUCUUCAGACUCCUAAAUUGUUUUUUAACUCCACAGAGUGCAGGUUGCAGAUGUUUAUUUUCAUUCAAUUGUCAAACGCCACUGAUGACAAGUUAACAGCCCACAUGAACACAGCCCAUUGAAUGCAAAUCGUGCUGGCUCUUAGAUUUUGCUGCCAGGUAGAGUUCCCAAUAUGUCGCUCAAGUGAAGCUCGUAUCCACCGCAGGGUCUGAAAAAUGUUUAAUUGAAAACCCGAGUUGGCUUCUUUUGUCAGGCACUGCUAUUUAGUCCCGGCUUCAAUGCCUGUCAUCCUGACAAGCCGACAAAUAGCUAUUUUUAAUACCUUUAGCGCUUUUACAAAUGACACGUCCAUUUCCAUAUUUUGUCUAUUUGUGUCGACCAAAUCACAUCACAUUACAUUACAGGGAAAUUAACAAAACACGCCAGAAAUAGAGGUCUGUUCAGGGAUGUUUUCUGAAAACCUUUUGUACAAGCACUAAAUGAUUGACUGAUGACCGAAGCUUUUUAAGCUCAGCCAUGAAUAGUUGGCGACCAAUUGGUCUGAGAUACAGCCAAAUUUGUGCAAUUGUGGGCAGACACAAACACACACUGUUACAAAUUGCUGUAAAUUUACGGUGCAUUUCUAACGGUAUCUUACAGUAUGUCAUAAUAACUGUAAAAUACAGUUACAUUUCCAUCCCUUGCUUGUAAAUUAACGGCCAAUGUCAUGAAUAAACAGUUAAACCUGUCAAUUCACAAUAAUAGCAGACUACCGUAAUUCAACAGCAUGUUACAUAUAUUUUAUGAAGUGGUGGAAAUACACAUACAAGUGCAGUGAAUUACAAUCAUUUACAUAUGCUACAUACGAUUAUGACUUUGACUUACAGGACAUUACAAUACAUGUAGCUGUCACUUUUUUCCAAAACGCCCAUGGUUUGACAUAAUUCAUGUGGAGUAAUUGGGGGUUAUGUGGCUUGCUCAGGGACACUUCGACUUGGCACAGGGAGCAGCCAGGAUUCGAACCGCCGACCUUAUGCUGCACAGCUUACCCUCACUAUCCCAUGCGCCGCCUUCGCUGUCGUUUCAGUAACCGGAAUGUAAGAAUUAUAAAUAUUUGUAUUAUUCAAAGUGUUCACUGCCUAAAAGUGAUUUGAGUGUUAAUCGUGACCUACUGAACGUGACGUCAGACGCGUAAUCUCAGUUCAUCAAGAACACCUGAGCAGUUCAACAUCGGAAGAGUUUCUCAUUGCCUCGUCUCUCCAAGUAACGUUGGUAAGUGUUAUUUGCCUAGCAUGAAAGACAUUCUCUUUGACAAAUGUUUCCUGAUUCCUGAUUUCAUUCUCUUUCCUUACAUCUUGUUGUCUUCCUCAUCUUUGUAAUUUAAAUAUUUUACCAAUGACAGUGUUUCUAAAUAUUUUAUUUUGGUUUGUUUUACAGAUGGAUUAAGGACGCCAGCCGUUUGCUGCGGUCAAUUGAAAGUGUUCCAUAGCGUAUUGUUGCAGUUAGUUUACCUUGUUCCCAAUGAUUUUAUGAUUCAUUUUUUUAUUAUUGUAUACAUGCGGCAUAUUUUAUGUUUUGUUCUUGGUUACAAAUGCCUAACAUUUUUGUCUUAAAGGCAUCUAAUAAACUCCAACCACUAUGACUGAAAUUAUUUUGUUUGUCUUUCUUUCAUUUGUGGGGAAAUAAAUGCAAAAGUAUACGUUAUGAGUAAACAGUAACAUUCUGGUAUUUAUAACACAAAAACAGUAAUCGUAUGGUAACAAACUGUAAUCCAAUAUACGACAACAUACCGUAUAUUACGGUAGGGCACUGUAAAUAAAACAGUAAGUUUCUAGCGACCAGUAAAUUGUGGUUAAUUCACAGUAAAAUUGGUUUAAGUUUACGGCAACAUACAGUGAUCCAUAACAGUGUAAAAACCAUUUACAGUAGUAUACCGUAAAAUAACAGUAAAUUCCUGGCAUCCUUUCUGCCUGUAAAAUACCGUUAAUUUACUGUGAAACUUUUUACAUUGCACACACACACUUUGUUACCGGAGUUUGUUACUUUUUAGACCCUCUUAGCGGCAUUAUUUCUAAAACUCAAGACAAGACAUGUGGUUCUAUUUGUAAUUUAUUCCAAUGCUGUUGGGAGUUAUUGCAGUGACCGGCUCUUCAGCCAAAAGUGUGUUUAUAUCCCAUUUGUGUAAUUUUCAGUUAGUAGGUGUGGGGCAGCUAGAACAGCUCCCCGGGUGCCGUUCUAAACAGGGCCCAUACUGGGUCAUCAUGGGUCAUGAUACUACAGCCGCCUUCUGUUUAGGGACUAUCGUAGAGAAUGACCAUAACAAAACACUUACCGCAUUUUCCGCACUGAAAGGCGCACUUAAAAGCGCACUUAAAAGCGCACUUAAAAGCGCACUUAAAAGCGCACUUAAAAGCCUUUAAUUUUCUCAAAAGCUACAGUGCGCCUUAUAAUCCGGAGCGCCUUUUAUAUGGAUCAAUUGGGUUAAUUGGUUGAUCUAUACUGGUUGUACACGGCGCUCUGCCAAACAUGCCAAAGCUCGGUCUACAACGGCGAGAUGCUGAGCGGCGCUCAAGCCCGUGAGAUAUGGAGCUUGUUUCAGGGCGUGUCGGAGAAACAAAGCUGUCGUUCUCGGGGGAAAAUAAGUUAUUCUAAAAGGAGCCCUUGACAGGCGGCGUGGCUGGAGAGCAGCCGAAGAUUUAAGGCGUGGAUGACGAGGGGGCGGCGGGAGCGGACGCACUUCGCAGCAUCGAUCGGACCCUGAAAGCACCGUCUCCACCUCCCCACAUCCCCCCCCAUCCACCCGCCCCAACGUCAAACAUUUGACUGCAGUAUGCGCCUUAUAAUCCGGUGAGCCCUAUAUAUGAAAAAUGUUCUAAAAUAGGUCAUUCAUUGAAGGUGCGCCUUAUAAUCCGGUGCGCCUUAUAGUGCGGAAAAUACGGUAUGUGCGUGUUUGUCAUAUGCAAUAGCUUUGUCGUUUUGGUGGCAACAAAUUUUAUCCAAGUUCUGCGUGACGUCUCACUCCAUCAUGUAUCAGAGGUCACAUGUGUGGCAGCUUGUGUACUGCCUUCAACUCCAUGCAGCAAAGUGGUCUACUAGCUGCUGCUAGUUUAGAAAGCCCAGCUCCUUCAGUCCAUGCAUAUUUGUCCUUGGUAAAGACAAUUGAAAGGAUUCCCAAAUUGACACCCCAAGUUGCUUAUCAUAGGGUGCACCGUACAAGCCUUGGUUAGUCCUGAGGGGCAAGUGACACGUAGUGCUCUGGCGUUUUGAGUAGAGAGGUUGCUUACAAGUUCAUUAACCAUGUAAACAGCACAUGUCCAAGCGGACAUGGUUAAUUUGGCCUAUUGCUAAAUGCUGUCGUCCUGACUGAAGUGGAAUUUAGAGCAAAUGAAGUAGUCCACAGUUUUAGUGUGAGAGCCUAUACAAUAUAGAGACAAUAUAGAUAACAAGACUGUUAUCAACUGUAAAACGCCCCGUAAUAACAGUUCUUAUGGAAUUCUACUUACAAGUCCUUACAAGAGAAGAGACAGAAAUUCAACCUUGAGUUCUGAGGACAAGGAGUAAUUCUAGAAAGAGAGAAGAGGAUGACACAGCAAGUCUUGACAGCUCUAAGUGUUCUCUUAACAUACACACGUCUGCCUUGACCACCUGUUAUGCUCUCCUUCUACUGUAAAGAGACAAGAUGAUAAUGUGUCACUGGAAAUGUUUCCAAGGAGAAAAAAAUCUCUGUGGCUGCGACAUUGUUAUUGUCAGUUUUUCGCCAGCAAACGGUUGCUUUAUAAAUUGUUUCUUUCUGAACAUCCGUUAUCGACGUGUGUUGGCUUUAAUCUCAAUCAGUUGUAAUCACAUUUGAUCACCUUUAAAUGAAAACAGAAAAGCGGAGCGCCAAACACAGCCAGCAGACCUUACUCUAUGUCAAUGUCAUAAUGUUAAUGUGCAAUAGUGCUAUGCCUUUUAUUUGCAGGUGUGCUUAUAACGUUUAGUUUUUGUCUUCCUGACAUAUUUUUGCCCACAUAUACAGUUUGUGUGAUUUAAUCGACACAAGUGGCCACUGAUUUGAACAGUCGACAUUCUACUACAUUGUAAACUACCCUAAAAUAACAGCUUGUAGCACUCUUGAUUUUUAUUGCAAUGUUCAUGGAUAGUUUCUCCCGACUGAGUUAUCUUCCUGUGCAGCCGCUCAACAUCUGUGAUGCCAAAAAACAACAACAUUGAUCAACAUAUUGUGAAAUAAGCCGGAGGCAACCCUCAUCCCUCCCCACCAUAACACACAUCCAGUACAUGUGGAGGGGCUUUCCUCAGACAUUACACUAUAGAUCCAUAACAUCAGGAAUUUAGAUUUAAAUUAUCUAUGAAAAUGUAUAUAUGUGUAUAUAUCUUAACGCUUUAUACAAAUCACCUUGCAUGGGUUGUUUUUAUGAUGAAUCAAAUAUCAAGAUAUGGUCAGCUAAUAAUAAUAAUACUUUUCCACAGGGGAGAAGUAGUAUUAGGCUAAGGAACUGUUCACAUAAAUGCCCAUUAGCUGCCAAUCUGUCAUUUCGUAACAACAAGAGAUUCUUUUUGAUAUUUGAACGAAGGAAACUGCUUUUUUGCAUUCUAUCCGAAAAAAAAAGUUGAAGAAAUAAAGAAUCAACCAACAAAAGGAAAAAAGAACAAUAUGUUCAACUGAUAAUAACUGGCUCAUUUUCCAAAAGGCAUCAGGAUGUUCCCAUCUCGCUCUUAGUGAGCCAUCAAGAUGAGAUCUGCAUUGUGACACCUGCAGCUUCCCGCGCGCAGCCUCAGCAUGUGAGGUCACUCUCACCCCCGGUCUCUGACAGAACAACGAGCAGUGCCACGGACAAUUUGCCGAUUAGCAGCGUUUGUGGGAGCCACCAUAAUGAGGCGUCCCGGUGAGGUGACAGCUUCUCGCCGGUGGCGACUUUAGAAGCCUGGCUAAGCUGUCCAUGUGAAUCGCUUGGUCAUCAAAAAUGUCUUUUGAAAUCACAACAGUUUCCAAGCAGCGGGCGCGUCGAUCAAUCGCACACCUGCGGCGACGGCGUGUGUGUGUCAGUCUGUUCUUUCACUUUGAUACGCGUGUCAGUCCCUCGCGAGGAGCGCCGAUGUCGGUUUUAAUGCGCUCCGCCAUUACAGUCUUGCGUGGCCUCGUUGGAUUGUUCCUCUGCAUUUAUUUUACAGCUCAUCGCCCCUUGGUGAAGGGGUGGAAUGUACUUUUGAAACAUGAUGGUAAAAAACACAUGUGAGGGUGCAUGUAUUUUCACACACAUGAUUUUAGACGAGGGACACAUGUGUGGCAGUACUGUGUGCAUCUAGCGUGACUACUGGACACUGACUGGACUCCACACAAAAGAGACACAGAAAAGGUUAAAAAGAAAAAGCAUAUUUUUAUUUUCUUUCAUUCCCGUUGGGGACUAGUGGGCAGAUAGACACACGUUAAGCCAAAAAGGGGGAACUUGAUUACCAAAUUGUCCAUCAACUAAACACUACCCUCUUCAUUUCCUCUCCUUCUUUGGCCUCCUUGUUUCUUGCACUUGUGUUUCUUCUACGAUUUGUAGGGUACUGUCAACACCUGCCAUAUAUCUCUGACAAGUUGGCAUUAAGUGCAAAGAGAAAUAUGUUUUAAAUUGAACACCGAGAGAGCUCUCAUACUGUUUAUGCAGGAUUUGUCAAGCUUUUUAAUUAAUGUCGCAUAACAAACAUGUUUUCCUGCCACACGAAACAACAAAGGUCCUUUCUGAGUGUCUAACUGUGAUCCGCCGAUAAUGGCUGACACUGUAAUGCCAGCAAUUUUAAGGACAGGCUUGACAUCAAUGGUAGACAUCAAAGAAAAUAAUAGCAUAAUAGAGUCUAGUCCUGAGCCUAUGUAGAGUACAUGACAUGCAUGUUGAUGAAUGUACAUGCACAAUCUUAGCCAUGGAGCAACCUCAUGGCUGAAGGGACACAAGACAUCUCACAAAUCACUAUAUAUAUGUAUAUCCAGUAAAUAUAUAUAUUCAUACACAAGACCCUACCCAAGAGAGAGUCACUUUGAGAAACAAACAGUCUUAAACAGUCACACUUAAUAUUUAGCAGUAGUGGAAGGACACAGGAACAGUUAAUAUGUGUUUUAAAUUGUCUUUAUUGCUGUUUUUCAUUAGUAUGCAGUGCACUCAGCAAGUUUUCAUGAAUUGUUCAUUCAUUAGGAGAUUUAAUGAAGUUUUUCUUGUAAUUUGGCCCAUCAAUAAUUUGGAGACCUCACAGAAUGGUCUCUAGAAAUGGUGGCUUUGAGAAAUCCUACACCAUUAAUAUUGCAGUGAACUCUUUCAGGCCUAUUAGCAAGGCUUGGUCCUUAAUGAGCCAACAGUCCUUAGUAUUGUCAAUAUUUUAUCCUCAUGUACCUUGUCAAUUGAGAUGGAUUUUCAAGUGUUAAUGUUAAUGACCCUGAAAAUGGGGGUCAGGAAGGUAAUGUGUUUUGCAGCCAUAAUAAUAACUAAAGAUGGAAAUGAAGAUGAUCCCUUUCGUAAGUUUGCAAUUAGGUCACUAACUGUGAACGCAUUAAAAACUUUCAUUUCACUCUUGACGUAUGCUUCAUUUCUGGGUGCCUGUUCUUUGUGAUGCAGGACAGAAAGUCUUUCAUUUCAUCGCAGCGUUCUAAUCAAAACUCUCUCCCGGUGAUUACUGACUGAGGGGAGUCCAGGUAGUCGAGGGCAUUCAUGCGCUCUUUAAUAGUGCCGCUUGUUUACAAGCAUGAGUCCACCUACAUACGCCACUAAUGGGCCGCACAUAGCCCAGUCACGGAUAUGCAUUCUCACUUUGGCUGGUGGUAUGGAAAAAUAGACCAAAGAAUGAAAAGAAACAACAAAUGGCCUCUCUGUAGUUGGCUGUCAGCAAAGGUAAUAUGCAGAUCUCAAGCCUUUAUGCCCAUUGUGUUGUGUUGAAUGGAGAGCUCCUGUUUGAUAUGUGUGAAUAGGCUUCGAUUAGACUAGCAAACCUGUCGCACAAAUUUACAUGCUUGUGUGUUUUGGAUUUUUAUUCUCCAAAACAAAACUUUUUUUCUUGAAGCAAGAGUCUGCAUAAUGCUUUUUCUGUCCACAAUCCAAAAUGAAAUGUAUUGCUACAAUUUAAAAAAAGGGAAUUAAAAGCUGCCGAGCUUAAAAGAAAGCACAUUAAAAUGUGUGCGGUAUCAGAAACAAUUGAGGCUCUGGGCCACACAAAAAAGCAACCAUGAAUUUAAAUAACCACCAUUUAACACACACAAACUUUUUUCCAUUGUAAGUCAAGUCUCUGUCAGCAUGCAAUGAUGGAAAACAAUAAAGAUGUUAUCCUCUACAUAGCACACUGACAGCUAUUGAGCUGUCAUAUGAUCAUGAAGUCAUUUCCAUGCCUAACUUGAAAGCAUAUUAUUAUGAUUAAAAACAUCAGUGAAAUGUCAAUCAAUGCCAGGCCAUUAUUGCCUCAUAUUCUGUCUCUAGAGAUACCCGCAUGCACCAUUUUU